rnacentral:tRNA from 1 species
GGAGAGGUGUCUGAGUGGUUUAAGGAGCGCGCUUGGAAAGCGCGUGUGCGGGUAACUGUACCGGGGGUUCGAAUCCCCCCCUCUCCGCCA